rnacentral:rRNA from 1 species
UCCGGUUGAUCCUGCCGGACCCGACUGCUAUCAGAGUGGGACUAAGCCAUGCGAGUUAACGCAGCAAUGCGUGGUAUACGGCUCAGUAACACGUAGUCAACAUGCCCAGGGGACGUGAAUAACCUCGGGAAACUGAGGAUAAACCGCGAUAGGCCAAGGUUUCUGGAAUGGAUCAUGGCUAAAACCUAUAUGGCCCCUGGAUUGGACUGCGGCCGAUCAGGCUGUUGGUGAGGUAAUGGCCCACCAAACCUGUAACCGGUACGGGCUCUGAGAGGAGGAGCCCGGAGAUGGGCACUGAGACAAGGGCCCAGGCCCUAUGGGGCGCAGCAGGCGCGAAACCUCUGCAAUAGGCGAAAGCUUGACAGGGUUACUCUGAGUGACGUCCGUUAAGGACGUCUUUUGGCACCUCUAAAAAUGGUGCAGAAUAAGGGGUGGGCAAGUCUGGUGUCAGCCGCCGCGGUAAUACCAGCACCCCGAGUGGUCGGGACGAUUAUUGGGCCUAAAGCAUCCGUAGCCGGUUCUGCAAGUCUUCCGUUAAAUCCACCUGCUCAACAGAUGGGCCGCGGAGGAUACUACAGGGCUAGGAGGCGGGAGAGGCAAGCGGUACUCAGUGGGUAGGGGUAAAAUCCUCUGAUCCACUGAAGACCACCAGUGGCGAAGGCGGCUUGCCAGAACGCGCUCGACGGUGAGGGAUGAAAGCUGGGGGAGCAAACCGGAUUAGAUACCCGGGUAGUCCCAGCUGUAAACGAUGCAGACUCGGUGAUGGGUUGGCUUUGGGCCAACCCAGUGCCGCAGGGAAGCCGUUAAGUCUGCCGCCUGGGGAGUACGGUCGCAAGACUGAAACUUAAAGGAAUUGGCGGGGGAGCACCACAAGGGGUGAAGCCUGCGGUUCAAUUGGAGUCAACGCCGGAAAUCUUACCGGGGGCGACAGCAGAGUGAAGGUCAAGCUGAAGACUUUACCAGACAAGCUGAGAGGUGGUGCAUGGCC